rnacentral:rRNA from 1 species
GACGAACGCUGGCGGCGUGCCUAACACAUGCAAGUCGAACGGAGAUGAUGGGAUAGCUUGCUAUUUAAUCAUCUUAGUGGCGGACGGGUGAGUAACACGUGGGCAACCUGCCCCAAAGAGGGGGAUAACACCGAGAAAUCGGUGCUAAUACCGCAUAACAUUAGAGCUUCGCAUGGAGCUUUAAUCAAAGGAGCAAUCCGCUUUGGGAUGGGCCCGCGUCUGAUUAGCUAGUUGGUGAGGUAACGGCUCACCAAGGCGACGAUCAGUAGCCGAUCUGAGAGGAUGACCGGCCACACUGGAACUGAGACACGGUCCAGACUCCUACGGGAGGCAGCAGUGGGGAAUAUUGCACAAUGGGGGAAACCCUGAUGCAGCAACGCCGCGUGGAGGAAGAAGGUCUUCGGAUUGUAAACUCCUGUCUUCUGGGACGAAUAAUGACGGUACCAGAGGAGGAAGCCAACGGCUAACUACGUGCCAGCAGCCGAAC